CACGUCGCUGAUUCGAAUGCACGUCAGUCAACUUUCACCAACCGUCUUCUGAAGAAAUAAUUUUGAUCGCCGGCAGCAAACUACCCUCUGGCAGGUUGACAUUAAGGUAAAAUUGUUGUCAUGGUUACAGUCAGCUGAAGCUACCAGAUAAACGAAUGAUAUAUAUUUGUGUGUGUGUGUGUGUUUGUCUGUCUGUCUGUCUGUCCGUAUUUCUAUCUUUAAAAAUGGGCAAAACAUGGGUCCUAUUGGAUUGAGGAGGAGCCAACGACCUAUGACAUUGUUCCUAAAAAGAACCUACAGAAAAAGAACUUUGAACUUGGGGAUGUUGUGGAUGUUGCCUAUAAGGAUUAAAGUUCACCAGCCACAGUUAUAGACCGUUUCUAAGAGAACAAAGAAAAUCUCAGGAGGAGGAUGUUGACACAGUACAGAAGAAAUUUCCAGAUGUACCAAUAAAAUAUAUCAGGGCAGCACUCGGAAAAAUUAAAUGAUGAGCACAAGUUACGAGUAAGGAAAAUGGAGUAAAUGCAGCCUGCUGUGAAUUGGAUUCUGCUUAGGUUUACUUUUUUUAUUUUUACAAUUUUAAUAAAUAAUUUGUGA